GCGGCGCGCUUAACGCAUGCAAGUCGAGCGAUGAGGCUCCCUUCGGGGAGUACAUCAGCGGCAGACGGGUGAGUAACACGUAGAUAACCUGCCCUCAAGACGGGGACAACCGGUGGAAACAGCGGCUAAUACCCGAUAUGCUCACAGGAUCGGGAGGUCGAGUGAGGAAAGGCUUCGGUGCUUGAGGAGGGAUCUGCGGCCCAUCAGCUAGUUGGUGAGGUAACGGCUCACCAAGGCGAAGACGGGUAGGGGGUGUGAGAGCAUGGCCCCCCACAAUGGGACUGAGACACGGCCCAUACUCCUACGGGAGGCAGCAGCGGGGAAUAUUGCGCAAUGGACGGAAGUCAGACGCAGCGACGCCGCGUGGGUGAGGAAGGUCUUCGGGUUGUAAAGCCCUUUUCAGGGGAGCGAGAAAGGACGGUACCCUUGGAAUAAGCGUCGGCUAACUACGUGCCAGCAGCCGCGGUAAGACGUAGGACGCAAGCGUUAUCCGGAUUUACUGGGCGUAAAGCGCCUGUAGGCGGUCAAGUAAGUCGGAUGUGAAAGCCCCGUGCUCAACGCGGGGAAGCCAUUCGAUACUGCGUGACUAGAGAACGGCCAGAGGGGACAACGGAAUUUCUGGUGUAGCGGUAAAAUGCGCAGAGAUCAGAAAGAACACCGAUGGCGAAGGCAGUUUCCUAGGCCGCAUCUGACGCUGAGAGGCGAAAGCUAGGGGAGCAAACAGGAUUAGAGACCCUGGUAGUCCUAGCUGUAAACGAUGGAUGCUAGGUGUGGGCCGGAAAGGUCCGUGCCGUAGUUAACGCGAUAAGCAUCCCGUCUGGGGAGUACGGCCGCAAGGCUAAAACUCAAACGAAUUGACGGGGACCCGCACAAGCAGCGGAGCGUGUGGUUUAAUUCGAUGCUACACGCAGAACCUUACCUGGGCUUGACAUUAGUGUAUGAAUGAACGGAG
rnacentral:rRNA from 1 species